rnacentral:rRNA from 1 species
AGAACGAACGCUGGCGGCAGGCCUAAUACAUGCAAGUCGAGCGCCCAGUAAUGGGAGCGGCGGACGGGUGCGUAACACGUGGGAACGUACCCUUUGGUUCGGGAUAACUCAGGGAAACUUGAGCUAAUACCGAGUAAGCCCGAGAGGGGAAAGAUUUAUCGCCAAAGGAUCGGCCCGCGUUCGAUUAGCUAGUUGGUGGGGUAACGGCUCACCAAGGCGACGAUCAGUAGCUGGUCUGAGAGGAUGAUCAGCCACAUUGGGACUGAGACACGGCCCAAACUCCUACGGGAGGCAGCAGUGGGGAAUAUUGGACAAUGGGCGCAAGCCUGAUCCAGCCAUGCCGCGUGAGUGAUGAAGGCCCUAGGGUUGUAAAGCUCUUUUGUGCGGGAAGAUAAUGACGGUACCGCAAGAAUAAGCCCCGGCUAACUUCGUGCCAGCAGCCGC